rnacentral:rRNA from 1 species
AUUGAACGCUGGCGGCAGGCCUAACACAUGCAAGUCGAGCGAGCGGCGGACGGGUGAGUAAUGCAUGGGGACCGCCCGAUAUAGGGGGAUAACUACUGGAAACGGUAGCUAAUACCCAAUACUAUCGGAUAACCCAUAUGGGACUGGCUAGUAUGUGAGGUAAUGGCUCACCGAGGCGACGAUCCCUAGAUGGUCUGAGAGGAUGAUCAGCGAAACUGUGACAUGUACACGGCGCAGACGCCUACGGAGGCAGCGGUGGGGAAGAGUGCAAAAUGGGCGAAAGCCUGAUGCACCCAUGCCGCGUGUAUGAAGGAGGCACUAAGGUUGUAAGGUACUUACAGUCGGGAGGCGGUACCGACAGAAGAAGCACCGGCUAACUCCGUGCCAGCAGCCGCGGUAAUAC